rnacentral:rRNA from 1 species
AUGACGAGUGGCGGACGGGUGAGUAACGCGCUAGGAAUUUGCCCAGUCGUGGGGGACAACUCGGGGAAACUCGAGCUAAUACCGCAUACGCCCUACGGGGGAAAGCGGGGGAUCUUCGGACCUCGCGCGAUUGGAUGAGCCUGCGUUGGAUUAGCUAGUUGGUGGGGUAAAGGCCUACCAAGGCGACGAUCCAUAGCUGGUCUGAGAGGACGAUCAGCCACACUGGGACUGAGACACGGCCCAGACUCCUACGGGAGGCAGCAGUGGGGAAUAUUGGACAAUGGGGGCAACCCUGAUCCAGCAAUGCCGCGUGUGUGAAGAAGGCCUGCGGGUUGUAAAGCACUUUCAGUUGGGAAGAAAAGUCGGGUGUUAAUAGCGCCUGAAAUUGACGUCACCGACAGAAGAAGCACCGGCUAACUCCGUGCCAGCAGCCGCGGUAAUACGGAGGGUGCGAGCGUUAAUCGGAAUUACUGGGCGUAAAGGGCGCGUAGGCGGCGAGAUGAGUCAGAUGUGAAAGCCCCGGGCUUAACCUGGGAACGGCAUUUGAUACUGUCUUGCUCGAGUUUGAUAGAGGGGAGUGGAAUUUCCGGUGUAGCGGUGAAAUGCGUAGAGAUCGGAAGGAACACCAGUGGCGAAGGCGACUCCCUGGAUCAAAACUGACGCUGAGGUGCGAAAGCGUGGGUAGCAAACAGGAUUAGAUACCCUGGUAGUCCACGCUGUAAACGAUGAGAACUAGCCGUUGGACGCAAAUAAGUGUUUAGUGGCGCAGCUAAC